rnacentral:rRNA from 1 species
CGUUUAGGGGUAAACCUGAGAAACCCGAAAGGUCGAAGGGAGAAAUUCAUUCGCGUCUCGUAGACGGCGUCGAACGAUUCAGCGACGGGGUCGUGCUUGCACGUCUCUCGCGCGUUUUGUUCGACGAGCCGACAGCGAACGCGUGCACUUUUCUCCUGGUAGGACGUCGCGAUCCGUCGGGUGUCGAUCUACGGUCCGCGGUGGAGCCCGUCGGCGGCGUUUCGGCGCUCGUUAACGGACCCGCGAGAUCCGGUCGACUCGCUCGACGGUAUACGAACGGUUAGGGGCCGCUUCUAGGAGCGUCCGACCGAUAGCAAGCGCGCCGGAAUCGUCGGCGAUCGGACCUAGUGCCGAUUCCGACAUCCGGUGACUGUUGGCCGUCGAGUUCUCGGACAGACCUCUCUUAAAACCGAUCUGCGACGCUAUAGCUUUGGGUAAUUUCAGGACCCGUCUUGAAACACGGACCAAGGAGUCUAGCAUGUACGCGAGUCAUUGGGAAUCGAUAAACCUAAAGGCGAAAUGAAAGUGAAGAUCUUCCUUGCGGAGAUCGAGGGAAGAGAGGCGUGCUUAGGCGCGUCUCGCAUUCCCGGGGCGUCUCGUUCUCAUCGCGAGAUGAGGCGCACCAAGAGCGUACACGCUGGGACCCGAAAGAUGGUGAACUAUGC